UGAGGAAUCAUAGUCAAUGGGCGAAAGCCUGAACCUGCGACGCCGCGUGAGUGAUGAAGGUUUUCGGAUCGUAAAGCUCUGUCUUUGGGGAAGAUAAUGACGGUACCCAAGGAGGAAGCCACGGCUAACUACGUGCCAGCAGCCGCGGUAAUACGUAGGUGGCGAGCGUUAUCCGGAUUUACUGGGCGUAAAGGGAGCGUAGGCGGACUUUUAAGUGAGAUGUGAAAUACCCGGGCUCAACUUGGGUGCUGCAUUUCAAACUGGAAGUCUAGAGUGCAGGAGAGGAGAAUGGAAUUCCUAGUGUAGCGGUGGAAUGCGCAGAUAUCAGGAAGAACACCGAUGGCGAAGGCAGGUCUCUGGGCCAUAACUGACGCUGAGGAGCGAAAGCGUGGGGAGCGAACA
rnacentral:rRNA from 1 species